CCGGCUUCAUCCCGCCGGGUAGGAGCUGGAGGAGGGGUAACUGCCUCUCCCCGGGUGGCAGAUGACCCACAAUUGUGUACAGCCCCUCAGGUGUGAGCUGAACCACAAUUGGGGGCACCUCCUGAGGUGGGAUCAGACCCACUGUUGGGGACACCUCCUGAGGUGGGAGAGGGCCCACAGUUGGGGGUACCCCCUGAAUUGGGAGGUGACCCACCGUUGGGGGCACCCCCUGAGGUAGGUUCAGACCCACCGCUGGGAUCACCUCCUGAGGUGGGAGCGGGCCCACAGUUGCGGGUACCCCCUGAAUUGGGAGCUGACCCACAGUUGGGGGUACCCCCUGAGGUGGGAACGGGCCUACAGUUUGGG
ensembl:lncRNA